rnacentral:tRNA from 2 species
AAAGGAUUAGUUAAAGUAACAUUAGUAUGUCACGCUAAAAUUGUUGGUUCAACCCAGCAUCCUUUG